CGCCCGCCCGCCCUCACUCUCUCGCCGCCGCUCGGGCCGUACGGGGCCGGCAGCGCGGCGGGGGCUGUUAGGCCGCGGCGUAACGCUCCCUGCCGGCGGGGCCUCUUCACCGGGCGGCGCGGACCGGUCGGGGCCGGCUCCCCGCGCAGGCGCAGGGCCCCGUAAACAGGAAGCGGCGGCCUCCGGGGCGGCGGCGGAGACAAAGGGGCCCGGCCAGGCCCGGCCCGGCGAGCGGGGGUGCUGGCGGCGGGCGGCAGGAUGGUGCAGAAGGACGGGCAGGCGGCGCUCGAGGAGCCCCAGGGCAGCCCCAACCCGGCCGCGGCGCCCGGAGCUCCCUUAGAGCCGCCGGGAGCCGCCGCCGCAGCCGUGGGGCCGGUUCAGGGGGGCGAGGAGACGGACACCGAGACGGAGACGGCGCUGGGCUCCCGCCGCUUCCUCUGCGGCGUCGUGGAAGGAUUUUAUGGAAGACCUUGGGUUAUGGAGCAGAGGAAAGAACUCUUUAGAAGACUUCAGAAGUGGGGACUAAAUACAUACUUGUACGCUCCAAAGGAUGACUACAAGCACAGGAUGUUCUGGCGAGAAAUGUACUCUGUGGAGGAAGCGGAGCAGCUAAUGACUCUAAUAUCAGCUGCACGAGAACAUGAAAUAGAGUUCAUUUAUGCAAUCUCGCCUGGACUUGACAUCACUUUCUCAAAUCCCAAAGAGGUAUCCACAUUGAAACGCAAGCUGGACCAGGUUUCCCAGUUUGGCUGCAGAUCUUUCGCACUGCUGUUUGAUGAUAUUGAUCACAACAUGUGUGCAGCAGACAAAGAAGUUUUCAGUUCCUUUGCUCAUGCUCAAGUCUCAAUAACAAACGAAAUUUUUCAAUAUCUAGGAGAACCAGACACAUUCCUUUUCUGUCCUACAGAGUACUGCGGAACUUUUUGUUACCCAAAUGUUGCCCAGUCUCCGUAUUUACGGACUGUAGGAGAAAAGUUGCUCCCUGGCAUCGAUGUGUUAUGGACAGGUCCGAAAGUUGUAUCCAAAGACAUUCCAGUAGAGUCCAUUGAAGAAGUUUCGAAGAUCAUCAGGAGAGCACCAGUUAUCUGGGAUAACAUUCAUGCUAAUGAUUAUGAUCAAAAGAGGCUUUUUCUUGGACCUUACAAAGGUCGGUCAACUGAGCUCAUCCCUCGACUAAAGGGAGUUUUGACCAAUCCAAACUGUGAAUUUGAAGCCAAUUACGUUGCUAUUCACACGCUUGCAACCUGGUACAAGUCUAACAUGAAUGGAGUGAGGAAAGAUGUGGUAAUGACUGAUACGGAAGACAGUACAGUUUCUAUCCAGAUUAAACUGGAAAAUGAGGGGAGCGAUGAAGAUAUUGAAACAGAUGUUCUCUACAGCCCACAAAUGGCCCUGAAGUUGGCCUUAACGGAAUGGCUACAGGAGUUUGGGGUACCUCAACAAUACAGCAGUAGGCAAGUGGCCCACAGUGGAGCUAAAACUACUGUAGGGGAUGUAGGGCCUCUGGUGGCACCAUCCUCUUUAAAUGCAGCAACUGUGGUUACCACGGUUUACCAAGAACCCAUCAUGAGUCAGGGGGCAGCGCUGAGCAGCGAGUCGCCAGCUUUGGUAAAGGAGGAAGAGAAGAAGCAAUCUGAUGAGGAGCCAAUGGACAUGGUUGUGGAAAAACAAGAUGACGCAGACAAGAAUGCUAAUCAGAUAUUGACAGAUAUUGCUGAAGCAAAGAUGGCAGAGGAGUUGAAGCCAAUGGAUACUGAUAAGGAGAGCAUAGCUGAAUCCAAGUCCCCAGAGAUGUCUAUGCAGGAAGACUCUGGUAGUGACAUUGCCCCUAUGCAGACUGAUGAACAGAUUAACAAAGACCAGUUUGUGCCUGGGCCAAACGAAAAGCCUCUCUACACAGUAGAACCAGUGACUUUAGAGGACUUGCAGCUUCUCGCUGACUUGUUUUAUCUCCCUUACGAGCAUGGGCCCAAAGGUGCACAGAUGCUGAGAGAAUUCCAGUGGCUCAGAGCAAAUAGCAGUGUUGUCAGUGUUAAUUGCAAAGGAAAGGAUGCUGAAAAAAUAGAAGAAUGGCGUAACCGAGCGGCUAAGUUUGAAGAGAUGUGCAGCUUGGUGAUGGGAAUGUUCACUCGCCUCUCCAAUUGUGCCAACAGGACAAUCCUGUAUGAUAUGUACUCCUACGUCUGGGAUAUCAAGAGUAUUAUGUCAAUGGUGAAAUCUUUUGUGCAGUGGUUAGGGUGUCGUAGUCAAUCUUCAGCACAGUUCUUAAGUGGAGACCAAGAACCCUGGGCCUUUAGAGGUGGUCUAGCAGGAGAGUUCCAGCGUUUGCUACCUAUUGAUGGGGCAAAUGACCUCUUUUUUCAACCACCUCCAUUAACGCCUACUUCCAAGGUGUACACCAUAAGACCCUACUUUCCUAAAGAUGAGGCAUCUGUAUAUAAGAUCUGCAGAGAAAUGUAUGCUGAUGGAGCUGAUCAACCUUUCCAUAGUUUGCCAGACUUGAUUGGAGACAAGUUAGUGGGAGGUCUACUCACUCUCAGCCUGGAUUACUGCUUCGUCUUGGAAGAUGAGGAUGGUAUAUGUGGCUAUGCCUUGGGAACAGUUGAUGUGACUCCUUUCAUUAAAAAAUGCAAAAUGUCUUGGAUCCCUUUCAUGCAAGAAAAAUAUACUAAACCAAACAGUGACAAGGAGCUGUCUGAGGCAGAGAAAAUAAUGCUAAGCUUCCAUGAAGAGCAAGAAGUGUUGCCAGAAUCAUUCCUUGCCAACUUCCCUUCGUUGAUAAAGAUUGAUAUCCACAAAAAAGUGACAGAUCCAAGUGUGGCCAAAAGUAUGAUGGCCUGCCUGCUCUCUUCUCUAAAGGCUAAUGGCUCCCGUGGGGCUUUUUGUGAAGUGAGACCGGAUGAUAAAAGAAUCCUGGAAUUUUACAGCAAGCUGGGUUGUUUUGAAAUUGCUAAAAUGGAAGGAUUUCCAAAGGAUGUUGUUAUCCUUGGGAGAAGCCUGUGAAGCGCUUGGCAGUGAACAGUUCCAGUACUGUAGUCCCUUAACAGCUGGGCAGGUAGUGGUGGGGAUCUUCAUAUGGUCUAGCUUCACAAAGCCAGCUUGGUAGAGGGGGCUGUGCGAAAAUCACCCAUCACACGUGCAGACUGAUUUGUUGGAAGGGGAUAAUGCUGCUGAAAACACUGUUUUAACAAAGAGAAACCUUGUCCUCUCCUGGUCGUGUGUGAAGUGCCAAGGAAUCUUGCAUGGGCUAUAGUUUCUCGGAGGAAUCCUUCUCAAUCGGCGUUGUGGUCGACAACAGUUCUCUGCAUUCAAGUAUGAGAAGUGGUCUCUAUCAGAACUAUCUAUAAAGAUGCAGUUUUGUUUCUGUUGUAGAGUAGGAUGCAACUGGGAGUUGCAGAAAUGGGAGGGAUUACUUGUGUCAAUCAGCAAAUUUAAAGAUAAGUAGCUACAGUUCUGUUUUUGACUAUCUUUAUGCUUGUUGAUAAAGCAAUGACCCAUUGUCACUUCUAAUGACCAUUGGUUCAAGCUUUGUGCUUUGUUAGGGACAAAUGUGCAGUGGUCUGUGGCAGAAGUCACUUAAUGACAAACUUGUAAAUUUCGGUGUAUAUAAACUUAGCUGUAUGCUGACUAACUUUUUGUUUACCAGUUUUUGUAACUUUUUCUUUUAAAAAGUGAAAAGGUAUAGGUCCAAGAUGGCACUUUUGAAUAACAAAACCACGAUGGAGAGCGAAUUUGUCCUCAGCACUGACCUGUUUUUCUUUUUUUUAACUGUGCCUCGUGUCCAGGGCUUAGAAACUGACCAUCUUGGGUAAGGGGUGCUGAUCCCAAAGGAUCCUUCCUUCAGAUGUCAGUUUGUUCCCCGCAAGGCUGCCGCUGCUCGAGGCUAUCAUCAUUCUGGGACUGAAACAGCAAUUCACAGGGUGGUCUGCUGAACCUGUUAAUUUUGGUGGCAUUAGUACAGAAUUGUGGAUGGAAGAUGGUGAGAGGGAGAGAGCUGGCCCACAGCUGGGAUUUAUCCUUGGAACAGUCACCAUGUUUCAAAGCCUGUUCGUACUAGUUUGAUUAAAUCAGGGUCUUCAAGUCCUGCACAUUUGUAUCAGAUAACUUUUCUAUAAGAAAUGCCACAGUAAGCACAUUUUUACACAUUAUUUAAAUGGUUACCUACUUUUAAAUGUUCCAAGAAUUUAAUGUUUUUAUCCAGGUCUGACAUGUUUGGCUAUGUGAUAAAAUCAACAUGGUAUGGGAUCUGGUAGCGAGGUAGUUGUAUCAUUUGUGAAAUCAGCAUUUCACAAAAGUCCCAGUGUCUAAGAUAAGUGAUUGGCCAACGGUAUACACCUUGCAGUACCUUGCUUCUUUCACCUGCCACCAUCAGCUGUCUUAAUCUUCCUUUUUAAAUUUCCUGGGUUAUUUCAGUGGUGCACAAAGGAAGUUCAGUUCCUUAUAUGAGCUUCCAUCUGCAGAGAAGUUACGCAACCUAUAAUGAACGGCAUUAAGACUACGGUAAUGUUGUCUGCAGCCUGUAAGGGGAUGCUGUGGUUGGCCUUCCGGUACAGUCACGUGCAGGACUUUUUUUUUUUCCUUUGCAGAAUGUGAACAAUUUUUUAAUGCGGUAGCAAAAUAUUUAAGUUGCAACAAGUUCAUUUCAUUUUUAGAGAGAGGUAUGGGGUUGUGCUAUGGGAUUUCAUGUAAGUCAGAGCUGAAUGCCACUAGUUUUUAAUCCAGCUUUGAGUGCAUGUUGAGUAGCUGAUACCUUGGUUUAUCAGGUGGGAGAGGUUUUUUUUUUUGUUGUUUGUUUCUUCAUGGAUACCAGAGUCAACUUAUUUUAUCUGGGUUCAUAGCAUUACAGCAUAGGAUGCUUGUGGCCUUAUUUCUUGGCUCUUAAGGAACUGCCACACUUUCUCUUCCUAUGACUUUGUUAUUAUUAUAGAAGUUAAUUGUAUAAGCCUAUGGAAUGUCAGGCCAAUACCAUCAUUCUAGGAUUGUAAAGUGAUAUGUUGACAUAUCUUUCAUGGUUAAGAAUUUUCAUUAAGGUUGGAAUGCCACUUUCAUUAAUCUGUUUUUAGAUCAACAGUAUCUGUAGCAGAAAAAAACGACCUGUAAAACUGUAUUUGAAGACCAUGCAAGAAAUAGAAUAAAAAUUGAGAAGUGAAUGUAAAUAAAAAAAACGUGUAUUUUGUUGUGUGAUGUUUCUGAACCAAAAAUGGCUCGGCAGUGUAUGUUGCAUCAUGCCAUAUGUGUUGGAAGCCCUCGUGAUCAGCUGUCACAGAAACUUGUCGUGGGUUUUGGUGGUGAAAGUGUUGCAUGGUAGGCACCUGUGCUGAUGCUUAUCAUAGGUGAAUUUCCUGUGACCCUUUAGAAAUACCCCAAGAUGUUCAGAGUGGCAGUACUCAGUUGAAUGUUAACCUGUUUUUGCAAAAAUUUGGUCUUCUCAAGGUGAUCUUUUGGUGUCUGGUAAAGCUGGUGGGAGCUUUGCAACAGCACUUGUUUACCCUUUCAUGAUUUUUCUUUCUAGCCAGCAGCUGGUUUUUGAGAGUUACUGAAACCCAAAUCAGCCUGCCAGCAGCAACGAAGUGAGAAAGAAAAUACCUGGGGAAUGGUUGCGUUGCAUGUAAGAGGUGAACAUGGUAACACCAUAACCUGGCUCUAGUUGUACAUCAGCAAAAUUUAGCAUACGGAGCCAAACACCUGACAGCUAAAGCAAGCAGCUUCCUGCAUACAAGAAUUACCACCAAGCAGAAGAGAUGGGUUUUACAGCCAAGUAAAAGAGUGUAUUUAAAAAAAAAAAAACACAACUUUUUCUUAAGGACUCUUCACAAGAAUGGCUUUAACAUCCCUCCACCUGCCAUAGAAGUUCAGUUAUGUUAUGUGUAGAACAUAAUAUUCAAACUAAGUAGGGAGAUUGGUAAUUAAAAUCUUUUCUCCUAAUCCAGUAAGCAUGUGUUACAUUAAAAUGAUACUUUUCCUUCAGACAAGUGUUUCACGUAGCUGUCUGUGGUGUUGAAGCCUUUCUUGUGAAGUUGCAGCAGAAAUGGCAGUGACUUGGCUAUGGCCAAAGCAAGCCAACUGCAAAAACUGGAAGGUCUUGGUUCACACCCUUUCUCAAAUGCGUGCUGUGUAAAGAAUCAAGUAUGUAAAAGCAAUUGAAAAUACAGGGAGGCUGUCUUGAUUAAAUGCAGCAGGCGCUGCUCUGUCACUGAAUCAGAGCACUGAAGAGAUCACUGGUGAGCAUGGGAAGUGCUUGAAAAUUGGCAUAAGUGUUCUUCAAUUGAUUCAGCAGUGAAAUGAAAAUUGCUUGACUAGCUUCUCUUCGCAGGCCACAUGCUAGACAAUUAACUGAUGGCUGAAGUGAAGAUACUGGUGUGAACCCGCCUGGCUUUGCUCAAGCACGUGUUUGGUGUUGGCUGCACUCCUGCUACAUUUGCUCGGUCCUGUGGUGGUUGGUCUGAGCCACAGCACUUGUCAGAGCCCUGGUCUAUGUUGGGUUUGUUGCAAAGGGGAAUGGGACCUUGCUGCUGGAAUGGCUGUUGGCAGACCCAUCUGCCCCAUGAGCAGUUUGUUACGCUCUGUCAUCAGUAGCCACUUUUUUAUUUUCCUGUUUCAAGGAUUCUUUGCUACAAGUAGGACCAAAUAUCCUAUUUCAAGAGCUCAGGGGCAGGCCAAAAAACGUGUAGUCUGUACAGGGUGAGUUUUUCAGCAUGAAAGGGACUUCAGUCGCUUCUACGUAUCUAUCACAGUACUUUUCAAAGCAAUCAAAUUCUGUGCAUCCCCCAGUCCUGGGGACAAUGAAUACCUGAAGCCAAAAAUAAGUGAGGCAAACGGUCACCGGAGUUUGAGCUGUCUGCUUUAAAAGUACGUUUAAAAUGUGUGUGUGUGUGUGUAUCUUCCUGGGGAGUACCUUCUUAUGUUCGGGGGUUUUCUGAGUGGAGCUGUAGUUUAUAGUGUCAAACAGGAAUAAAAGCAAAUUU